ensembl:processed_transcript Snhg1 small nucleolar RNA host gene 1
CUCAUUUUUCCUUGCUCGGGGUAAGUACUCUACGUCUUUAUGUGCUGUAGUUUUCACUUUGUUUUUUCUUGUCUUUCUCUUUUUUUUUUUUUUUUUGGUUUUUCGAGACAGGGUUUCUCUGUAUAGUCCUGGCUGUCCUGAAACUCACUUUAUAGACCAGGGUGGCCUCGAACUAAAAUCCGCCUGCCUCUGCCACCCGAGUGCUGCGAUUAAAGUCGUGCGCCACCACGCCUGGCUCUUGUCUUUCUCUUAAUCAGCUUUCCUAUAACUGCGGCUGGCUUUUAUCACAAACACCUAUCUGUCACUGUUGUGAACCGCCGCCUGUAUUUUCUUUCUGGUGAUUUAAAAGACCCUCGUGGGCAGCGUUAAUAAAUGUGGACUUUGGUAAUCUGUUCCGUAGUCUUAGCGGGGAGACCAUGUUAGGGCAUUCAAGACCUAAAGAUGACAGGAUUUUGUGAAGGACAAAAUGGUGGCGGCAGUGCAAGGCCACCCCCUAUGAUGAGGACCUUUUCACAGACCUGUACUGAUAUAUCUGUGAGGAUAAGUAACUCUGAGGAGGCUGGCCCUACAUCACAGCCUUCUCAUCCUUUAGAGAUUUCUUGGUGUAGAAGUAACCCGAUGCUAACUUCUCUACAGGUUUGAGGUGCCACCUUACAAAAGGAUGGGUGUACGCUCUCUUUUCAGAGUAAGUAGUGUUAAUGGUUUUACCAGAUUUUUUUGGUUGUUGAGUAUAAGUUGUGUGUGUGCUACGGGGAUGAUAUGAAAACUGAACUCUCUCUUUCUGAUGGUUUAGUGGAGAAAACAAAAAUUCUCUGAGUAGCACAAUCUGUGGCAGGUAUUUGGAUUGUUUGGCAUAAAGUCUUUUAUUGAAGUUUGGGGUUUUUUUUUCUGUUCUAGAUGUGGUUCAUCUCAAAGCCCUUUACACUUUGGAGCCAGGCCUGUUCAAUUUUACAAAUAACACGUUUUGCUUGUAGUCAGGUAGGUAUUGAUGGUUGGUGCUUCCUUAGGGAGCAUAUUUAGAUGGCCACUUAAUGAUGAACAAUGUAAAUGACAAGCAUAUGGCUGAGUUGCAAUGAUGUCAUCUUACUACUGAAAUGGGCUGAAGAAAGAAGGUGCUGAGGUGGCUGUGAUUACAUUUAAAAAUGACAUUGUUUCUCUGUUUCCAGGGUGCUGUGACAACAUGAAGAGUUCGAGCUACCUCCCAGGAUGAGUGCAGGUAAUUUUCCAAGUAGAGCUUAGGCUUUCCCUAGGGAAAAUAGUCAAGACAGACAUUGAAGCAGCACAACACUUUUUUGCUGCUUAUUAUUUGUAUUUCUAGAGGACACAUUAUGUUAAGGCCUUUGUUCUCUUAAAAACUCAACUGUCAGAUGAUUUGAAAUGAUGACACUGAACACUCCAUGAAGGUGUGAAUUUAUAGCAUGUUAGAGUUCUGAUGGCAGUUAGUGCUGACAGAGAGAUUGUAAUUCUGUCCUGAUGGUUGAAAAUAACUGCUUGUUACUCUUCCACAGGUUUUCCUGGUGACAAAUCUCAGGCAUUCAAAGGUUAGUUAGAUUAUUUUGGAUGGGGUUUGUUCACUAGGUUUGCUGUUUCUAUGAUGAAUCAAACUAGCUCACUAUGACUGCUAAUGAAAACACAGGAACACCUGAGAAACCAAAGGGUAGUGUGGGGGCAAGGGCCUUAUAUCCAGCCUUUUCAAGGUUUGUUAUUUUUCUCCAGGUUCUGUUAGCAGUGCCAUACUUGUGGGUUUACAGAGAUGGUGUGUCUGGCUGAGAACAAAGGAGCCGUACCAGGUAUAUGUCUUAGUAAUGCUUUUUGUAGUAUAAGGUUGAAUAUAUAAUACUUAGUCCUAGUGAAUUCCUGCUCACCCUGAUGAACUGAAUACCGCCCCAGUCUGAUAGCUGUGAAGAAAGGUAUUUUCUGAGUUGUGAGCUCAUCUUGGAUCAAGUAGGAAAUUUUUUAUGCUAAUACUAGCAUAGUAUUAAUACUAGCAUAAGCUUUUGUAAAAGAAGCUUAAGCAUUAAUGGCCCAAAUUGUUUGCUAUUUUGCAGGGAAGUUGAAGCCUAUCUUCAUUUUCAAGUGCAGGCUAAAAUAAGGUAAGAAAACUUAGAUGAAAAGUAUGCUGAACUAUAAUUUCCCCAUGAAGAAAUGUUCACACGACCUACUUCCUGUCCUAGCUCCAGAGCCUGAAAAGGUGAACCCACUGGGGCUGGCUGGGGGAAAAGAGGAAACUUUGUUCCAGAAGGAACUGUCUGAGGGAUCAUUUUUGUGCAUAGAAAGGGAAGAAUUCUCACUUGAUUAAAGAGGAAUCAAAAGGUGAUUUACUUGUUUUACAGGUCUGAGGAAAAGAAUGAGCAGCGUGUGAAGGAUAGGUAAGCCCUUCAAAUCAUUAGAAUGGGUGGGGCAGGGUUGGGGGAAACUGGUUAACUAGACAGCCUAUAUAUAGUCUCUUCUGAUAGUGAAUGUAGGAUGAUGUUGCUUUCUACUCCUAAUUCAAAUUUUUAUCUUGCAGGAACAGAAAUCAUGGAAGAUCUGUUUGUCCAGGCCAGUGUUUCACCAUAAGAGAUCACUUUAAAAUAAAUGAGAUGAAAUAAUUCUUUGCAAUUGCAAAUUUACCUUCCUUGCUUACCACAUUGUUAACUGUAGGGACUGAUAAUCUGGUUCUUCCACUAUUAACUUGUACUCUGUGUUCUAGCAAUAAAUGCUCUUUAUGCU